rnacentral:misc_RNA from 1 species
UGGACAUCUUCGUCUGUUGGGCUUCAAGCCUUUGAGCUGCUUAAAAGACUAUCAUAACCUGAAGCCAGCAACUUUUGUCUUUCCCAGUGAUGAGGAAGUGGUUGGAAGCACUUGUCUUUUCGUUGCUCUCCAAAGAUCAAUGUUGCGGCUUAAGCGUUUUGCAGUUGCUUUCUAUGGGAAUUUAAGUCAUCCUCAAUUGGUUGCUCUUGUUGCACAAGAUGAAGUAAUGACUCCUAGUGGUCAAGUCGAGCCACCAGGGAUGCAUCUGAUUUAUCUUCCAUAUUCUGAUGAUAUCAGACAUGUUGAAGAGCUUCAUACUGAUCCUAAUUCCGUGCCUCAUGCCACUGAUGACCAGAUAAAGAAGGCCUCCGCUUUAGUGAGACGUAUUGACCUCAAAGAUUUUUCUGUGUGGCAAUUUGCUAAUCCUGCAUUGCAGAGACAUUAUGCAGUAUUACAAGCUCUUGCACUUGAUGAAGAUGAGAUGCCUGAAAUUAAAGACGAGACUCUUCCAGAUGAAGAAGGAAUGGCUAGGCCUGGUAUUGUCAAAGCAUUGGAGGAAUUCAAGCUCUCUGUUUAUGGAGAGAGCUAUAAGGAUGAAGACUCAAACAUUGAAGGAAAAGCUGAGCCAACUAGGAAACGGAAAGCAAAUGCUAUAAAAGAAUAUGGUAAUUAUGAGUGGGCUGACCUUGCAGAUAAUGGGAAGUUGAAGGACAUGACAGUUGUAGAAUUGAAGUAUUAUCUAGGUGCACAUGACCUUCCAGUCAGUGGAAAGAAAGAAGCCUUGAUUAGUAGGAUCUUAACUCACAUGGGCAAGUGAGUUGUGACUUUCAGAUCUUUGGCGGUCUGCCAUUAGUUUGUACAGAAUGGUUCUUUUUGCUGCAGCCUGUUGAGUAGUUAGUUUUUGUUUCUCGUUGAAACCUUUAUGUCUUGGCAUUAU